rnacentral:lncRNA from 1 species
GAUAAGGGGUGGAAUAACCCCUUAUCCCUCUUUAUACCCAAACGUUAAUUUUUUAUUCGAGAAUAGUAGUUCUCGGGUAUCUAAAAUAAGCCGGUAUAACUAUUCCCAUCAACACCUCUAUUUUCUAUAUAUAACUACCCACUAUUUUCUUAUUCCAUAUUAUCUAUCUAAACGUUAUUUUUCUUAUCCCGGAAACAACCCAAUUUUCAUCCAAACACUAUUUUUCUUAUCCCCAUUUGCGAGAGUAAAGCUUG